CAAAUGUUCGCGGGAAGCCUGAAAAAAGGAGUGGGCAGGUCUGUCCCAUUGAUGCUGUGGCUGCCAAGCCUCAUACCAAAACUUCUGAGUUAUUGGUGCAACUCCGUGGACCAGCUUAGAAGAGUUCCAAUCCAGAUUCUUUUUCUGAGUGCUAAUUGGCUGCUUUAGAUGUGAAAAUGGCUUAAAUUGUGCAGAAGUAGGAAGAGUUCUAAAGUAUCAAGCUCAGCAGAACCUGUACUGUACACAGAACUCAUCAGAGUAUUCUAAAGGAUAAAAAUAAAUGAGAAGACAAAAUAAAACAACUAGCAACAGCAGAAGAGAUUCAGCUAUUCUAGUGAGGGAGCAGUCCCCAGAACAGCUUUUCAAGAGAAAUAAUUCUAUCAAUUUUUCUCACAAAUCUCUUGAGGGUUUUGGAACAACACAGGUACUGUACAUUGAAAAAGAUGGAGGGUUGGAUCUUGGUCACUUGCCUCCUAGGUGCAACAUUUGCUGUACUAGAUUAAAGAGACCAGGAAAUCAGAAAAAAGCAAAAGUAUUCUAGGCAUUUUCACUUGCUUUCAAGAAUCCAUAGUUCCACUGCAGUCAAUGAUGCAUGCUUCCAUUGACUCUACUUCUUAGUGAAUGCUAUAGCCCCCCCCAAAAAAAGAAAGAAAAAAGUACA